rnacentral:rRNA from 1 species
UGAGGAAUAUUGCGCAAUGGGCGAAAGCCUGACGCAGCGACGCCGCGUGAAGGAUGAAGGUCUUCGGAUUGUAAACUUCUGUUAAGCGGGAAGAAAUCUCGAUUUUGAAUAAAAGUCGAGUCUGACGGUACCGCUAGAGAAAGCACUGGCUAACCUCGUGCCAGCAGCCGCGGUAAUACGAGGGGUGCAAACGUUAUUCGGAUUUAUUGGGUGUAAAGGGUGCGUAGACGGUGUAUUAAGUUUGUUGUUAAAUCUCUUGGCCUAACUGAGAGCUUGCAAUGAAAACUGAUAUGCUUGAGUGUGGAAGAGAGAAGUGGAAUUCUCGGAGUAGCGGUAAAAUGCGUAGAUCUCGAGAGGAACACCGAUGGCGAAGGCAGCUUCUUGGUCCAUUACUGACGUUGAGGCACGAAAGCGUGGGGAGCAAACAGG